GAUGAACGCUAGCUACAGGCUUAACACAUGCAAGUCGAGGGACCGGCGCAAGGGUGAGUAACACGUAUCCAACCUGCCCUUUACACUGGGCUAGCCUUUCGAAAGAAAGAUUAAUACCCGAUGUACAGGAUCGGGAUGCUUUCGAUUAGGUUGUUGGUGAGGUAACGGCACACCAAGCCUUCGAUGUUUAGGGGUUCGGAGAGGAAGGUCCACCACAUUUGAACUGAGACACGGUCCAAACUCCUACGGGAGGCAGCGGUGAGGAAUAUUGGUCAAUGGGCGUUAGCCUGAACCAGCCAAGUAGCGUGAAGGAUGAAGGCUUAUGGGUCAUAAACUUCUUGUAUAUAAGAAUAUGUAUUAUAUGAAUAAGGAUCGGCUAACUCCGUGCCAGCCGCCGCGGUAAUUC
rnacentral:rRNA from 1 species